AGUAAACCUAUAUGAAAUCUCAUAUCUGUGAAGAUUUCCUCGUCGAGAAAUCGAUAAUUCACCGUCCAUUGGUGUUGGAAGACUCGUCCAAGGUCAAAACUCGCUUUGAGGUAACUCCAUGGAUGUGUCAGUAAGAAUGUUGAGAUUCGCCAUGUAUGCUAGUAGUAAACAUGGUGAAUACAGCAGGAUGUUCAUUUUGAUUGAUACUGCGAGUGAGAAUAAGAGACUGCCGGUUUUCCAGCGGUCGCUGAUGAAGGCGUUGAGUGCGGCCCAGAAGAACAGAACGGCGAUGGGGUCGUUGAAGAGGCGCAGGACGUAGAUGGAGUGGAUGCGGUAGGAGGUGAGGAAGCUGAGGAUGAGCGCGUAGCCGGGGAGUUUGCAGGUUUUGAUGGUGAUGGUGUAGGUGAGGUAGGAUUGUGUUACGUAGAUGCCGAUGAAGAUGUAUUGGGCGAGGCGGAUGUUGGCGCCGGCGGAGGUGAGGUAGUAGAAGGCGGUGUAGACGUAGAGGAAGCCGGCGGGGUAGACGCACGGGCCGGUGUCACCUGAGAAUGAAUUUAAAAUUAGUAAUUAGCAAAUUUUGUGUGUUUUUUAUUUAAUUUUGAUUUUUAUUUUGAUGUUGGAGGUGUUUAAUUUGAAAAUUGUUGGAGUUUAUGGUGAUAUUUUUAAGGGAGGUGAUUAAUGAAAGGACGGUUUAUAGUUUAGGGGAGUUUUGGCAAUUUCUACUGGGCAAUACACGAAUAAAUCAAAAUUUACGCAAAAAAUAAAAAAAAUAAAAAAUUUAAGUUUGACUUCAAAGUCGAAUAAUUCAAAAACUAACAUAAAUUAACAAAAAAUUCUUUCAGGAUAAUAAAAAUAUAUUAAUAAUCAAAUUAAUUUGAAUAUUGCAUCAAUUUCUACUGGGUGGUUCACGAAGAAAUUAUAAUUUUAUGCGUUAUAAACACGUGUAAUUCAAAUAUUAUCAAAGAUAUUGAUAAAAUUCCUUCAGAAUUUGAUAAAGUGUACAAUAUUCUAGAGAUGAGCAAAUUUUGAUCAAUGUAUACCGAGUGAAUUGGUAAUAAAUUAGAAAAAUCAA